rnacentral:lncRNA from 1 species
CUAGGAUUAGAGCUAGGGUUAAUUUCAGAUCUAAGAUGCAGUUAGGGAUAGUUUUAGGGUUAGGUUUAAGCCUAGGUCUAAAGUAAAGUUUAAGUUUCUUGUUAGGGUCAGGUUUAGACCUAUGGGUAUUAGUAGAGUCAAUGUCAUUUUAGGGUUUGGGUUAGGUUAAGGUUUAGGUUUAGGGCUCAAAUUAGUCUUAUGUUUAGAGAUCAAGUAAUGACACAGUUAGGUUUAGGGUUCAGUUUAAGUGUAGGUUAAUGGAGAGGGUUAAGGCUAGUGCAAGGAUUAGGGUUCCACCUAGGGUUAGCAUAAGGAUUAUAGUUAUCUUAGGGUAAUGAAUAGGGUUAGAGCUAGGAUUAGGGCUAGGGUUAUGGUUAGGAUUAGGUCUAGGGUUAGGCUUAGGGUUAUGGUUAGGGCUAGAGUUAUUGUUAGGGUUAUGUUUAGUGUUAAAGCUAAGGUAGUGCUUGGAUUAGGGCUAGCUUUUGUGAUAGGUUAAGACUAUGGCUAAUGUAAGAACUAGUGUAAUUAUUAGGACUAGUUUUAUUAUUAAUGCUAUGGCUAGAUGUAGUUUUAGGGUUAGUUUCAGAGUUAGGGUGAAGUUUAGAGCUAGGGUUAGUGUUAGUGUCAGGGACAGUGUUCAGGUAGGGUAAUGGUUAGGGUUAAAGCCAGAAUUAGGACUAGGAUUAGGUCUAGAGGUAGGGUUAGAGUUUGGGUUAGGUUAAGGGUUAUUGUUAAGGCUACAUCUAGUUUGUCUUUAGGUCUAGAGCUAUUGUUAUGGCUAGAUUUAGGAUUAGGUUUAGGUCUAGGUCUAGUAUUAGGGGUAGGUUUAGUUAUAAGGUUACCAGUAGGUCUAGUGUUAGGGUUCGGUUUAGGGUUAGAUUUAGAUUUAGACCUAAGAUUAGUGUUAGGGUCAGAAUAAUGGUCAGGGAUAAGGUUAGG